rnacentral:rRNA from 1 species
UAGGGAAUCUUCCGCAAUGGGCGAAAGCCUGACGGAGCAACGCCGCGUGAGUGAUGAAGGUCUUCGGAUCGUAAAACUCUGUUAUUAGGGAAGAACAUAUGUGUAAGUAACUGUGCACAUCUUGACGGUACCUAAUCAGAAAGCCACGGCUAACUACGUGCCAGCAGCCGCGGUAAUACGUAGGUGGCAAGCGUUAUCCGGAAUUAUUGGGCGUAAAGCGCGCGUAGGCGGUUUUUUAAGUCUGAUGUGAAAGCCCACGGCUCAACCGUGGAGGGUCAUUGGAAACUGGAAAACUUGAGUGCAGAAGAGGAAAGUGGAAUUCCAUGUGUAGCGGUGAAAUGCGCAGAGAUAUGGAGGAACACCAGUGGCGAAGGCGACUUUCUGGUCUGUAACUGACGCUGAUGUGCGAAAGCGUGGGGAUCAAACAGGAUUAGAUACCCUGGUAGUCCACGCCGUAAACGAUGAGUGCUAAGUGUUAGGGGGUUUCCGCCCCUUAGUGCUGCAGCUAACGCAUUAAGCACUCCGCCUGGGGAGUACGACNNGCAAGGUUG